AGCGAACGCUGGCGGCAGGCCUAACACAUGCAAGUCGAACGAACUCUUCGGAGUUAGUGGCGGACGGGUGAGUAACACGUGGGAACGUGCCUUUAGGUUCGGAAUCACUCAGGGAAACUUGUGCUAAUACCGAAUGUGCCCUUCGGGGGAAAGAUUUAUCGCCUUUAGAGCGGCCCGCGUCUGAUUAGCUAGUGGGUGAGGUAAAGGCACACAACGGCGACGAUCAGUAGCUGGUCUGAGAGGAUGAUCAGCCACAUUGGGACUGAGACACGGCCCAAACUCCUACGGGAGGCAGCAGUGGGGAAUCUUGCGCAAUGGGCGAAAGCCUGACGCAGCCAUGCCGCGUGAAUGAUGAAGGUCUGAGGAUUGUAAAAUUCUUUCACCGGAGACGAUAAUGACGGUACCCGGAGAAGAAGCCCCGGCUAACUUCGUG
rnacentral:rRNA from 1 species